GUCUUGAGUCUUCUUCAUGACUUGGUGAAGUCAGUGAAAGGAUUUAUAACUAGUUGGAUGGAUCAGAUUAAGCUUAAUCUUUUUUUAUCUGACUUGGUGAAGUCAGUGGGAGAAUUAAGAAUAGCUGGUCAAAUCUCUUCUUUAAAUUAACUCUUAAAUCCUCUAGAUUAUUAGGUCCAUAAAAUGAACUGAUUAUGGUGAUAAUUAGAUCAUAG
rnacentral:lncRNA from 1 species